rnacentral:rRNA from 1 species
UACGAAGGGGACUAGCGUUGUUCGGAAUCACUGGGCGUAAAGCGCACGUAGGCGGAUAUGUCAGUCAGGGGUGAAAUCCCGGGGCUUAACCUCGGAACUGCCUUUGAUACAGCAUAUCUUGAGUCCGAUAGAGGUGGGUGGAAUUCCUAGUGUAGAGGUGAAAUUCGUAGAUAUUAGGAAGAACACCGGUGGCGAAGGCGGCUCACUGGCCCGAUACUGACGCUGAGGCACGAAAGCGUGGGGAGCAAACAGGG